ACUGUUAGAAAUGUCUGUAAAUUGAACAGUAUUUAACUGUAAAAUGAACUGUAUUUUACUGUAGGACAGUUAUACAGCAUGUUACUGUAUUUUAAAGUUACGUUUUGGGAAAUAUCCCCUUGGCGCCACUAAAAUACAGUAUUUUUGAUUUACUCUAAAUCUAAAUACAGUAAAAAAAAAAAAAAAAAAAAAAAAAAAAAAAGAGCGCGAAACCUGACCAAUCACAGAAAAGCUUUUAUUUCCCGCUUGGAGAAAGAAGACGAAGACACACAGAUGCGAGGAGAAGCAGUCAGAUGCAAAGGUUUGACCACGUCAGGAGCUGGUUCAUUGUGAGGAUUAACCCUGACAACAGCAAGUGCUCCUCAAAGUUCCAGGUCACCAAAAGAAGUGGGAAGAUGCAUGGUGCAAAGGAAGAACUCUGGCCUGAACCCUCAUGUAUCCUCCUUUAUUAAGGAGUUUCUGGAUUUCAGCUGGCAAAACUAUUAAGCUACUAAGAGCAAAUACGUUCUACACAGGAGUUGAAUUUGUACAUUUUUAAGAUUGUUCUUAUGACUGAAUCUGUUAAUGUCUGUUGUUUUAAAAAUGCUCUUAAUAUGAAACUUUUAUGUAUAAAUGAAAUGUUUUCAAGUUUUUGGAAAACUGAAAGUACAAUCUGCAAGAAUAUUAAAAUGUUAUUUCAAGUAUCACAAUUGAACAAUUAAAUCAAUAAAAGAAGUUAAACAGUA